ensembl:misc_RNA Y_RNA Y RNA
AGCUGGUCCAAUGGCAGUGGUGCUUACAACUAAUUCAUCAAAACUAGUUAUAGAUUUGUUUCUUCUCCAUUCCCAUUGCUUCACUUGACUAGCCUAAA